AUAGCGGCCGGAACAGGAGCAGGCGGUGGUGUCGGGGAAGCUCGGUGUGGCCCGCGCAGCUGCGGUUGAUGGGGGCUCUGGGAAAUUAAAACUUUCCAGCUCUCCCCAAGCUGCUUCCUUACAGAUGGUCUGGGAGCCGGGGUUUGUGUGUGUGUGUUGUAUAUGGGGGUGGCUCUGGCCAAGCAGAAAACUGCUCCUAAGACCAUCGACGCUCUCAUUCCUUUUCCUGGAGCACAAACCAAAUUAAGAUAAGAAUAUUAAUUGGUCUUUUUUAUGUUUGCGGAGGGAUUACCAUACAACGCCGUAAAACACCGCAUACAUCUCAUUUUACUCCGUGGCUCCCGGUCGGUGAGGGCUGCCCAGACCGGUCAGUGCCGCAGAGGUGGGGGGUCUCAGCACCUGGAUCCGGGCUGACUGGGAGCCUCAAUCCCAGCUUUUAACGUUUGCAGAUCACACAGUCCGGGAACCUCAGGGUAAGCCGCUGGCCACCGGGAGCCAGACCAUGUGGAGAUGCCCCUGGGAGCAGCCGUCAACCUCGGGGUGGAGGGAUGUCUGAGCUGCUGUCCUGUGUCCCGGCCCAGGUGUGUGCCUGCUCAGGUGUGUGCCGACCAGGUGUGUCCUGGCCCAGGUGUGUCCUGGCCCAAGUGUGUGCCGCCCAGGUGUGUCCUGGCCCAGGUGUGUCCUGGCCCAAGUGUGUGCCGCCCAGGUGUGUCCUGGCCCAGGUGUGUCCUGGCCCAGGUGUGUG